rnacentral:rRNA from 1 species
GACGAACGCUGGCGGCGUGCUUAACACAUGCAAGUCGAACGGAAAGGCCCUGCUUUUGUGGAGUGCUCGAGUGGCGAACGGGUGAGUAACACGUGAGUAACCUGCCCUUGACUUUGGGAUAACGUCAGGAAACUGGGGCUAAUACCGGAUAGGAGCUCCUGCUGCAUGGUGGGGGUUGGAAAGUUUCGGCGGUUGGGGAUGGACUCGCGGCUUAUCAGCUUGUUGGUGGGGUAGUGGCUUACCAAGGCUUUGACGGGUAGCCGGCCUGAGAGGGUGACCGGCGACAUUGGGACUGAGAGAGGGCCCAGUGUCCAACGGGAGGCAGCAGUGGGGAAUAUUGCACAGUGGGCGGGAGCCUGAUGCAGCAACGCCGCGUGCGGGAUGACGGCCUUCGGGUUGUGAACCGCUUUCGCCUGUGACGAAGCGUGAGUGACGGUAAUGGGUAAAGAAGCACCGGCUAACUACGUG